UUUUAGGAAAAUAUAUAUUUGUAUAGGAGCAACUAAAUUUCCAACAUAAGGAGAUGGGCUUAUACAAAGAUAUUUUAUUUCUUAUAUCUUUUUUUUUAAGAUUUGUAAUAGUUAUCCUUACAAGGUUUUUAAUUAUAUUUCUUUUAUAUAUUAAAGACUGAAGUAGGAAAUUAGAUAUUAAGAAAAUUUGUAUAUUUAAAAUAAAAGUUUAACUAAAACAUGUUACAUAAGGUUAAAACGUAUAUAUGUGGUUAUGUAACUGCCGUAUGCUCGUUUUUCACAUGAUGAAUUUCUUAGACCCAAGAUGCAUAAACCACACAAACAAAAAUACAUAAACAGAUGCAUCAAACAUCCAAACUAAACUUUAAAAAACAAAAGCGCAAGAAAUAUUGCUGGAAACAAAUAACAAAGGAAAACAUAUCCUCUUCCAUGAUUGAUGAGCGCAAUGAAAUCUUUUAUCCAAAAGAUAAUGAUAUGUUUAAUUUUCGAUAUUUUUCAUCGUAAUUGGAUUGAGUUCCAUUUUCACGCUAAGUUAACUUCGUUACGAAAAGAUGAUUCAUGUCUACGAAAGAAAAAUAAAAUAAAAGUACUAUGACAUGUCCAGUUAUCAAUAACGAGAUGAGAACAACUACUAAAAAUGGACCCGGAUAUGUUUGUAGCUGUUUUCAUGUUUUGCUUUAAUUCCUUUUUCAACACGGAUGUUUUAGCUCUAUAUAACAAUAAUAAUAAUAAUAAUAUAUUGCAUCUCUAAGACUAGAAAGUAGAAACAGUCAAACAAUUAAACAAAUUGCAUGCGUAAGUCAAGCAUGAAACAAGAGGAUCAUGCGCACAAAACAAACAAUGAAACCUAAUUAAUCUUACACAUUUUUACGUUGAAAUCCUAUUAGUUAUUCACUCAUGUUGUUGGUUAAAAUACUAAGUUUAGAAAGAUAAAAAACUUAGUUUUAUGUAUUUAUGAAACUUAAGCACAAAAUCUGCCGAGAGGAUUUUAGUUUUUUCUUUUUUACUAUAUAUGCCCAUUCUUAAGUUAUUUUUUUUUAAGUUGUCAAGAACAAGUUUCCUUUCUUUAACAGAAUGCAUAUACUUCCAUAAAAGACUCCUAUUUUCUCGUGAUUUUUAGGAAUCAAUGACUAAAAUCUUAUAGUCACAUCUGGCCGCAUGUGUAAUUGAACUUUUAUUGACUCUCGGUUUAUUAUCAGGCUCCAGCAUUGGUUUAGUCUUCGGUUUACGGCUCGGGCUAGGAGUUAUGUGAACACUGAUUAAUGUUGUGCGUUCGGUGGAAGAUGGUCUUCAAUGUGGUCUUCGAAUUUUUGGUUGAGCCCGCCCAUUUUGAUAUAGAAUGGUUCAUAAUCUACAGGGAAUCAUAACUAGAGCAACUCCAAUGAUGACUAUUAGAAGAUGGCCUUGUUUUAAAAAUUUCCAUUAGAUCUGCACAUCGAGUUCUUGAUGUUGCUAUUAUCUUUGUAUCCGGUUAAACUUAUGAAUGAAAAAUAUUUGUGUUGAAAAGAGGGUUCUAAUUAAGUAUUUAAAAAAAAUAACAAAAUAAUGGAAUUAGAAGAAAAAAAAGACUAAAAGUUCUUAUUUUAGAUUUUUUAAGAAUCCGUAGUAUACUCAAAACAUACAUGUCAUCAUGUUAGAGGAAAUUAAUGUAUAGUUUAGAAAAAAUAAAAAAAUAAUUGAAUUAUAAUACUUUUUCUUAGAAACGUUUAUGGUUUAUAACCGUUACUUUUAGAUACUAAUAAUAUGAUAUCAAAGUGGAUGAUUGGUUGGAUUGAAGAUGCAGAAACUCUGUUAUAGAAUUUUAGUUUAUAGUUUUUAUUGUUGUAUAUGUAUAUUUUGUUGCAGUAGAAAAACACAACUUGUAAACACACUUUUACAACAAACAAAAAAACUUGUUAAACACUUUAACAGUUGUUUUAGUUAAAAAAAAAACAUGAAAUAGAAGGUAGAUGGUGUAGCUUUUGUUUAGAACGUCUCAUUAGAUUAUUAAACUGAUUGGAAAACAAAUGUUGUAAGCUUUAAUUUUAAAAUAAAUAAAGUUACAUCAUAACUGUUUUAAGAUUAGUGAUUUAAAAAUAUUGGAAACUAAGUUAAAAUCCAACCGAUCAUCACAUGUGUUUUUAAUGUUUAGAACGUUAAUGAACUCUGAGGAUUACCAAAUUGUUUCCAAUAUUAAAAUUUGGUAAGCCUUUUUACAAAAUUAAAAUUUGGUAACAUCCAAAACAAAGUCACCUCUCAUCUUAAUUAAUUACUAGCUUUUGACCCGUCCUUGAAAGGACGGGUAUAUUUUUUGUUUUAAUUAUUUUUGAAAAUUUUAAUUUUAAUAUAAUUUUUACUAACUUUAAGUAAAAUCACAUUUAAUAAAUAUUUUUUAAUCAGAUAACCUAUUUAAAACCCGUUAUACUAAAUGAGUUUCAUUUAUAUAAAUAUUUAUUUCCAUCAAAAUUUCACUUAAACCCUAUUUUUAACAUCAAAUGCUUUGUUAAUUGAUAAACUUAAUGUCUGUGUAAAAUAUUUAAAAUUUGAAAAAAAAUGUCUAGUCGAAUAAAUCUAAUUUUUUGGCUGAGAUGUAAGCUAUGCUGUUGUAGUGUGCUAAUAUUUUUUGAAAAAAUAUAUCAAAUUUUAUUAUAAUUAUGAGGAAUAAUUAUCAUAUCACUAUAGAAAAAUAUGUCAAAAACGUAACGGUAUACAUAAUUAUAUAAAAUAAUGUGUUAUAUUAAUCAAAUAAAAGGUUAAAAUCUAAAAAUAAUUUUUAUUUAAACACCCAAUAACAAAAAAAUACAAAAAUAUAUGGUAACAAAAAUGUCUUUUUAAUGUCGAGAAUUAGUUUUAACCUUUAUAAGGGUUUAUAUUUUUAUGGUACAUGACCAAUUGUAUAAGGGUUUUUUCGUAUCACACAUUUGUUGCCAUAUAACAAAAAAAUACAAAUAUAUAUUUUUAUAAAUUUUUGUUGCCAUAUACAUUGUUAUUUUAAACAUGACUUAAAGUGGUUAUCCCUUUAAAAUAGGACUUUAAAAUAUAUUCAUUUAGAUGAAGUUAUAUAACUUGUGCAUUUAUAUAAAAAAUAGUUUUUUUAGUUGGACAUAACUUUUUAUCAAUUGGUUAUAUUUCUGUUUUAAUAGAAUAUAUAAUAAUCGAGUAUAAUUGCAAUUUUGUUUAAUAAUCAAUAUUAUUAGUCUUCUUCUAUUAAAAUUAAAUUAGCCAUAAACCUAGAUGUGGUUAAGAAAGCAAUAUAAAUUUAUAUGGCUCAUUGCAAUCAGACCAAAUGGAACAAAUCAGUUGAUUUUAAAAACAAAAUCGAGGCCCAUGGCCCAAUUUUAAAAUCAUAAACCGACAAAAACUCCUUCUUUGUGUUGGAAGAAAAACGUAACUACUUAUUAUACAAAAAGAACGUGUUAUUGAUUUAAUUAAAUUAGAUACAGUUAUAAAAAAAAUCAAUUGGACAUAACUUGUUAUCAAUGGGUCACACUGCUGUUUUAAUAGAAUAGAUUAUUUUCUGCACAUGGAAAAAGCACGCUACGUAUCCUAUCAUACGUAGACAACAAAUCGUGAAGCUCAUGAGAGCACCAUUAACGCAGUAGCUUAGGGAGGUGCUUAGUGAUUUUUGGAUUAAAAAAAAAAAGAAAAUAAUGUAUUAAGGGAAGCCACGGCGCUUAAUUAAGCUGCAAAAGCAACGUAGUUUAUGAGACACGUGCCUUUCAUGGAGGGAGUUUUGCUUUCUUCUCUCCACAUCUCUCUCGAGACGGACAACACCAUUCAAACAAGGUGGCUUUGCAGCUUAUAGCCGUCGCAUGUCCAGGUUCGUUGAACUUAUUCAAUUCCAUAAACCUCGAUUCCUUCUCCUUCUACUACCCAACCAAACCCUCUCAUCGUUCGUCUUCAGAUCAACCAUAGAGGAUGAGGUAAUCGUUCUUAUUUUUUUUUUAUACAGCUCUGUUUUCCGCCGGAGAUUGUAAAUGAGAAAUUGGAAAAAAAAAUCAAAACUUUGGUUCUGAAUAUUCGACCUCGGUUCAAGAUCUGAUGCUUAAUAUGUUAAUCGAUUCUCAUGAAAAUUAGCUUAUUGGUUUUGCUGCUUGCGUGUGGUAUGUUCAAUAUGGUAGAGUUAGAUUAGGAAUCAAAAGGCAAAACAGAGAUGGAAUCUUUGAAUCGUAGAGACUUUUUUGUAUAGACAUUGGAAUCGCAAGAGAAUAAAAGAUGAUGCUUUGAAUUCGAAGUGUAUCUCUGUUUCGAAAUGGUAGAGUAUGAUGCUUUGAUGUGUGAUUACCUCGUACUACAUCGAGAAGUAUGGUUGUUUAAUCUUUUGCUUAAGAUUCAUAAGAAUGUAUUUAAAUGUUGGGAUGAUCUUUUUCUCUUUCUCUGUGAAAAAAAAAAAGAAAACAUGAAGACACCUCCUCCGUCGUCAUGAAUCUAUAAUGGUAACGACUAAGCUUGACGACUGCAUUAUCAAUAAUCUGAAGGUGAAAUCAAGUUAUCAACGAGAGGGAGGCGACAUUGUUGCUAAAUAAAGUCAGAGUGGAGCAUUGGGAGUGGAAGAAUCACGGACUAGUGUUUGAUCUCUCUGGUCUUCUCGAUGUGGGACUGAACCGUUUGAUGUAGUGUUGUGUCCUAUUGUGUUGUCAUGUGUAGUCUUCUGUUGUUGUGGUACUGAGUCUUGUGUAGUUGUAACAUGUCUUGUGUCGUUGAUGUUCUGAGUCUUGUGUAGUCUUGUGUCACGGACUAGUAACAAGAGUAGUAAAGAAUGUUUAAGUCAUCUUCU